CUUCAAGCCUCGCUUGGUGUUGGGUGUUGUCUCAGCUGCAAAUUUUUGUUUUUGUUUGUUCAGCAGACUCGCCUUGAAUUCAUUGGCAGCCGGCAAUUGGGUGUUGGAGCGCAGCAUAUUUCGCGUUCUCCGCCCCAGUCGUUGGUGUCCCAAAAAGCUCAUCUUCACGUUUGACCUCGGAUCAGGUAGGGAUACCCGCUGAACUUAAGCAUAUCAAUAAGCGGAGGA
rnacentral:rRNA from 1 species